AUGGCUGAGGACAGCAGAGAAUCCUCUUUGGAAACAGAAAAGGAUAGCAGGGGACAGAGAGUAGUGAAGACCUCCGAAGAAGAGAAAAAAGCUAACAACCCUAGAAAUGUUUUUGAGCCUGCAGAACUCUGCCACAAUCCAGGAGUAAUGAAAGCGAGUUUUAUCAGAAAAGUGAAUUUCGAGUUGUGUCUCCUGUCUGUGUUCUUUUAUCAUCCUCCAGUCCACCCACAAAUGAAUUAUCAGGCACGAACCCGGAGGCACGUAUCCAUGAAAGUCCCAAUUCAAAUGCCUUGGAGGGAGUCACCAUUGAGAGAAGCCCCAAUGACCAUCCACAGACAAAUGAAUUUAAAGGAGCAACCGAGGAGACACUUACGAAUGAUAUCCCACACAGCAGUGAAUGUAAAGGAGCAGCCCUGGUGUCACCUAUCAGUAAAAGAAUAUUUGGAGUUUUCCUGGUCUUACUGCAUGUCACUCUCCUCCUUGCCGACCUAAUUUUCAAUGAUAGCAAACUUUAUAUUCCUUUGGUGUAUCGUUCUAUUUCUCUAGCUAUUGCCUUAUUUUUUCUCAUGGAUGUUCUUCUUCGAGUAUUUGUCGAAGGGAGACAGCAGUAUUUUUCUGACUUAUUUAACAUUUUAGAUACUGCCAUUAUUGUGACUCCUCUGCUGAUUGAUGUCAUUUACAUUUUUUUGACAGUAAGUUUCUUAGGAAUAUUCCCAGAUGAACACAUUUAGUUCGACCUCUACGACUUGUUAUUCUGAUAAGAAUUUUUCAUCUGAUUCAUCAAAAAAGACAACUUGAAAAGCUGAUGAGAAGGCUGGUUUCAGAAAACAAAAGGCGAUACACAAGGGAUGGAUUUGACCUAGACCUCACUUAUGUUACAGAACGUAUUAUCGCUAUGUCAUUGCCAUCUUCUGGAAGGCAGUCUUUCUAUAGAAAUCUAAUUGAGGAAAGGGAAGUCGUGUGGUUUCUAGAUAAGAAACAUCCAAACCACUAUCGAGUCUACAAUCUAUGCAGUGAAAGAGCUUAUGAUCCUAAACACUUGCAUAAUAGGGUCAGUAGAAUCAUGAUUGAUGAUCAUAAUGUCCCCACUCUACAUGAGAUGGUGGUUUUCACCAAGGAAGUAAAUGAGUGGAUGGCUCAAGAUCUUGAAAACAUCAUAGCGACUAGCUGUAAAGGAGGCGAGGUAAUAACAUUUUCCUUUUUAUUUCUCCCUUUCUAAAGACAUGUAAAUAUAGAUAAAGUACAAGAACAAGAUACAUAUUGCUAUUAAUACAUAUUAACAAUUGUUAGCAUUUAAAAAUAUUAGCCCCAAGACUGAAAGAAGGGAAGGAGAAAGGAAAGAGGAGAGGAGGAAGGGUAGGAGACAGGGAGAGGAUAAGGAAGGAAAGAAAGCAGGAAAAAAGAACUAUGGAAGGUUGAGCAUAUUUUCCCUCGUUUUCCUAGUAUUUGGAUUUCUUUAUUUUUGCUUUGCCAGUUUAUAUCUCUCAAAAUAGAAACAGUCUUUAAUUUUAGAAUGUCAGAGUACUUUUGUUUUAUUUAAGGCUGAUCUUUUUAAAUUUUUAAAUU